UCGCCCUAACGUCGGGAACCUUUCGAGGCCCGGAAGCGAACACGGAU
rnacentral:SRP_RNA from 1 species